rnacentral:rRNA from 1 species
UACGUAGGGUCCAAGCGUUGUCCGGAUUUAUUGGGCGUAAAACGCUCGUAGGUGGCUACGUCAAGUCGGACGUGAAAUCUCCCGGCUUAACUGGGAGGGGCCGUGCGAAACUGCCGGGCUUGAGGUCAGAAGGGGAAAGUGGAAUUCCGGGUGUAGUGGUGGAAUACGUAGAUAUCCGGAGGAACACCAGCGGCGAAGGCGGCUUUCUGGUCUGAUACUGACGCUGAGGCGCGAAAGCGUGGGGAGCGAUCCGG